rnacentral:rRNA from 1 species
UACGGGGGGGGCAAGCGUUGUUCGGAAUUACUGGGCGUAAAGGGCUCGUAGGCGGCCAACUAAGUCAGACGUGAAAUCCCUCGGCUUAACCGGGGAACUGCGUCUGAUACUGGAUGGCUUGAGUGUAGGAGAGGGAUGCGGAAUUCCAGGUGGUAGCGGUGAAAUGCGUAGAUAUCUGGAGGAACACCGGUGGCGAAGGCGGCAUCCUGGACUACUACUGACGCUGAGUGAGCGAAAGCCAGGGGAGCAAACGGG